GGUUAAGCGACUAAGCGUACACGGUGGAUGCCCUGGCAGUCAGAGGCGAUGAAGGACGUGCUAAUCUGCGAUAAGCGUCGGUAAGGUGAUAUGAACCGUUAUAACCGGCGAUUUCCGAAUGGGGAAACCCAGUGUGAUUCGUCACACUAUCAUUAACUGAAUCCAUAGGUUAAUGAGGCGAACCGGGGGAACUGAAACAUCUAAGUACCCCGAGGAAAAGAAAUCAACCGAGAUUCCCCCAGUAGCGGCGAGCGAACGGGGAGCAGCCCAGAGCCUGAAUCAGUGUGUGUGUUAGUGGAAGCGUCUGGAAAGGCGCGCGAUACAGGGUGACAGUCCCGUACACAAAAAUGCACAUGCUGUGAGCUCGAUGAGUAGGGCGGGACACGUGGUAUCCUGUCUGAAUAUGGGGGGACCAUCCUCCAAGGCUAAAUACUCCUGACUGACCGAUAGUGAACCAGUACCGUGAGGGAAAGGCGAAAAGAACCCCGGCGAGGGGAGUGAAAAAGAACCUGAAACCGUGUACGUACAAGCAGUGGGAGCACGCUUAGGCGUGUGACUGCGUACCUUUUGUAUAAUGGGUCAGCGACUUAUAUUCUGUAGCAAGGUUAACCGAAUAGGGGAGCCGAAGGGAAACCGAGUCUUAACUGGGCGUUAAGUUGCAGGGUAUAGACCCGAAACCCGGUGAUCUAGCCAUGGGCAGGUUGAAGGUUGGGUAACACUAACUGGAGGACCGAACCGACUAAUGUUGAAAAAUUAGCGGAUGACUUGUGGCUGGGGGUGAAAGGCCAAUCAAACCGGGAGAUAGCUGGUUCUCCCCGAAAGCUAUUUAGGUAGCGCCUCGUGAAUUCAUCUCCGGGGGUAGAGCACUGUUUCGGCAAGGGGGUCAUCCCGACUUACCAACCCGAUGCAAACUGCGAAUACCGGAGAAUGUUAUCACGGGAGACACACGGCGGGUGCUAACGUCCGUCGUGAAGAGGGAAACAACCCAGACCGCCAGCUAAGGUCCCAAAGUCAUGGUUAAGUGGGAAACGAUGUGGGAAGGCCCAGACAGCCAGGAUGUUGGCUUAGAAGCAGCCAUCAUUUAAAGAAAGCGUAAUAGCUCACUGGUCGAGUCGGCCUGCGCGGAAGAUGUAACGGGGCUAAACCAUGCACCGAAGCUGCGGCAGCGACGCUGAUGCGUUGUUGGGUAGGGGAGCGUUCUGUAAGCCUGCGAAGGUGUGCUGUGAGGCAUGCUGGAGGUAUCAGAAGUGCGAAUGCUGACAUAAGUAACGAUAAAGCGGGUGAAAAGCCCGCUCGCCGGAAGACCAAGGGUUCCUGUCCAACGUUAAUCGGGGCAGGGUGAGUCGACCCCUAAGGCGAGGCCGAAAGGCGUAGUCGAUGGGAAACAGGUUAAUAUUCCUGUACUUGGUGUUACUGCGAAGGGGGGACGGAGAAGGCUAUGUUGGCCGGGCGACGGUUGUCCCGGUUUAAGCGUGUAGGCUGGUUUUCCAGGCAAAUCCGGAAAAUCAAGGCUGAGGCGUGAUGACGAGGCACUACGGUGCUGAAGCAACAAAUGCCCUGCUUCCAGGAAAAGCCUCUAAGCAUCAGGUAACAUCAAAUCGUACCCCAAACCGACACAGGUGGUCAGGUAGAGAAUACCAAGGCGCUUGAGAGAACUCGGGUGAAGGAACUAGGCAAAAUGGUGCCGUAACUUCGGGAGAAGGCACGCUGAUAUGUAGGUGAAGUCCCUCGCGGAUGGAGCUGAAAUCAGUCGAAGAUACCAGCUGGCUGCAACUGUUUAUUAAAAACACAGCACUGUGCAAACACGAAAGUGGACGUAUACGGUGUGACGCCUGCCCGGUGCCGGAAGGUUAAUUGAUGGGGUUAGCGCAAGCGAAGCUCUUGAUCGAAGCCCCGGUAAACGGCGGCCGUAACUAUAACGGUCCUAAGGUAGCGAAAUUCCUUGUCGGGUAAGUUCCGACCUGCACGAAUGGCGUAAUGAUGGCCAGGCUGUCUCCACCCGAGACUCAGUGAAAUUGAACUCGCUGUGAAGAUGCAGUGUACCCGCGGCAAGACGGAAAGACCCCGUGAACCUUUACUAUAGCUUGACACUGAACAUUGAGCCUUGAUGUGUAGGAUAGGUGGGAGGCUUUGAAGUGUGGACGCCAGUCUGCAUGGAGCCGACCUUGAAAUACCACCCUUUAAUGUUUGAUGUUCUAACGUUGACCCGUAAUCCGGGUUGCGGACAGUGUCUGGUGGGUAGUUUGACUGGGGCGGUCUCCUCCUAAAGAGUAACGGAGGAGCACGAAGGUUGGCUAAUCCUGGUCGGACAUCAGGAGGUUAGUGCAAUGGCAUAAGCCAGCUUGACUGCGAGCGUGACGGCGCGAGCAGGUGCGAAAGCAGGUCAUAGUGAUCCGGUGGUUCUGAAUGGAAGGGCCAUCGCUCAACGGAUAAAAGGUACUCCGGGGAUAACAGGCUGAUACCGCCCAAGAGUUCAUAUCGACGGCGGUGUUUGGCACCUCGAUGUCGGCUCAUCACAUCCUGGGGCUGAAGUAGGUCCCAAGGGUAUGGCUGUUCGCCAUUUAAAGUGGUACGCGAGCUGGGUUUAGAACGUCGUGAGACAGUUCGGUCCCUAUCUGCCGUGGGCGCUGGAGAACUGAGGGGGGCUGCUCCUAGUACGAGAGGACCGGAGUGGACGCAUCACUGGUGUUCGGGUUGUCAUGCCAAUGGCACUGCCCGGUAGCUAAAUGCGGAAGAGAUAAGUGCUGAAAGCAUCUAAGCACGAAACUUGCCCCGAGAUGAGUUCUCCCUGACUCCUUGAGAGUCCUGAAGGAACGUUGAAGACGACGACGUUGAUAGGCCGGGUGUGUAAGCGCAGCGAUGCGUUGAGCUAACCGGUACUAAUGAACCGUGAGGCUUAACCUU
rnacentral:rRNA from 1 species